GCAGUUUUUUCAGAAGAAAAUGCCUAAGUGACAGCUAUAUUGUUCACAAGGCAACACAUCCGACCUCCGAGUUCUAGUUUAUAAUCAGUGCCAUUAGGUAAAUUUUUUGUUGGCACGUACAUGUUAUAUUCCUUUUCUCAGAACAGGGUUUCCGUUAAGGGAAGUUUUGGGAGUCAUUUACUUCUUGAUUUUGGAUUGUGACUUCCAAAACCUAUUACUUUUUCUACUUUACCAAUAUAAUGUAACUUCCAAUAUCAGAGAUUUUGCAGUCUCUUAACUUCCAAAUUUUGAAACUUAAUGAAAUCCCUGUCAGAAGGGAGAUAAUUCAAUGUGUACAUAUGCAAUCGCACAGUAACCUGUAAAAUAAGGACAGUAUUAACAUGUCAGUUAAAGUGUCUUGGGGUAGUCCAGGGGUGUAUUGGGGGUACUCUUGGGGUGUCUUUGGGUAACUAGGCCAUGCUAUGUACCAUGAAUGUUAAAUUGAAUUGAAAUUUCUAUAAAAUGUGUAGGUAAAUUCCAUUCUCAGUUGUUGGAAUUUGAUUUCAGAUGUCCGCCUUUUCUGAUUUACUGUAAAAAAAAACAAACAGCUGCGCUGCAACACCAUAAAGACAUAUUAUCUAUAGAAAUGAUUUAAUAAUAAUGUUUCCGUUUAUUUCUCUUCGUAUUUUCGCACAGACUUUAAUCAUUAAAAUUUGUGAUUUUCAGGGUAAAAAACAAAAACAACUUUGGCUCAUCAAACGCCAAAAAUUUAUUUACCUAAUAAAGUUAUGAUAUUCAAUAAUAUUUUUGUUUAGAAAAACAAGCUUGCAAAUAUUCAUUAUAAUAAUUGUUUAUUUAUUUUAAAAAUGCUGUAAGACUUAAGAUUCAACAGUGCAUUUAGGCUAGUCAUACGUGACUGACUUAUGGCUAGAACUUUUUGCUAGUAAUAUGGGCCCAUACGGCUGGCCAUUGCUAUUGAUUGAUUUGAAUCAUAUCAUGGUACUGAGUAAGCGUGAAUGAUUUGACCCAUUUAACUGUCUGCUUUGAUUUGAAUAAUAUCAUGGUACUGAGUAAGCGUGAAUGAUUAUAAAUUGACCCAUUUAACUGACUGAUUUUUCUUUCUGACAAACCGUUACACAGAAAAUGUACUGGCACAACUGUUGCUAGUAUGAAUUAAUCAAUUUAAACAGUUUAUUAGUCGGAAAAUAUCAUGUAGUUCUUAAAAAAAUCAUUAGAAUAAUUAUUUUGUUACUUUUUAUAAUAAUCUCAAUCAAAAAAGUAUUCAAUGAUAGCUAUAGAGUGAAUGCAUAGAUCUCCCAGUGAUUUAUUUUAAAUUUGAAUUGUAAACCAUUUCUUUAUACUUCAUGUCCUAAAGAUUGAUAAAAUAUUUAGCUUGUAAAGUACAAUACAUCCUUCAGUUUAAGUUUUUUUGUUGCUGUAACAAGUUAUAUUUUAUUUUUAGAUAGUUCUGGCAUGCAUGGAAGAGAUGUCCUUGAGUCACAAUAUUUUCGAUGAUGAAGGUUCAGUUAUAUAUGCAAAAAAGGAGCAAAGUUGAGCUUUUUUGUGUGUUAAGAACCACAUUUCUAGGAUAGGUGAAGUAAGUUUGGUGCCAGGGUCCAGUAUGAAAUUGAAGACGGAGUGACCAACAUUCCCUUCUGGAAGAAAUAGUUUAUUGAUUGACCAUUAUCUUUAAUAUUGGAAGAUGAUAUAUAGGGUGCUCAUACAUUCCUUUUUGAUCAACAACAAUUUAAGUGUGCAUGUUUGUGAAGCAUCCAUAACCUGAAGCAAUUGUUCAACUGCAAAUUAUUUAUUUAUGUAUAUUUUUUAAUAGGUUCAUAGAUGCUAAAAUCUAGUAUAUAGUUUUUGAAUUUUCACCCUUUUAGACACAGUAUAAGUACAUACACUAAAAUUCACUGUUAAACUGUCAUAAAACUUAAGUUGU